rnacentral:rRNA from 1 species
GUGGCAGGGGCGGCGGUAAUACGGAGGGUGCAAGCGUUAGUCGGAAUUACUGGGCGUAAAGGGUGCGUAGGCGGGGAUGUAAGUCAGAUGUGAAAUACCGUUGCUCAACAACGGCCGUGCAUCUGAAACUGCAUUUCUAGAGGGAUAGCGGAGAAAACGGAAUUCCACGUGUAGCGGUGAAAUGCGUAGAUAUCUGGAAGAACACCCGUGGCGAAAGCGGUUUUCUAGCUUGACCCUGACGCUGAGGCACGAAAGCAAGGGGAGCAAACAGGAUUAGAUACCCUGGUAGUCCUUGCCUUAAACUAUGUAUACUUGGUGUUGUUAGGCUCAACCCUGACAGUACCGUAGCGAACGCGUUAAGUAUACCGCCUGGGGAGUACGCUCGCAAGGGUAAAACUCAAAAGAAUUGACGGGGACCCGCACAAGCAGUGGAGCAUGUGGUUUAAUUCGAUGCAACGCGAAGAACCUUACCUGGACUUGACAUGCUUUUGACCGCCGUAGAAAUACGGUUUUCUCGCAAGAGACAGAAGCACAGGUGCUGCAUGGCUGUCGUCAGCUCGUGCCGUGAGGUGUUGGGUUAAGUCCCGCAACGAGCGCAACCCUUGUCGUUAGUUGCCAACGCGUAAUGGCGGGCACUCUAGCGAGAACUGCCCAGGUUAACUGGGAGGAAGGUGAGGAUGACGUCAAGUCCGCAUGGCCUUUAUGUCCAGGGCUACACACGUGCUACAAUGGUCGGUACAAAAGGGAGCGAAGUCGUGAGAUGGAGCAAAUCCUCAAAGCCGGCCCCAGUUCGGAUUGGAGUCUGCAACUCGACUCCAUGAAGAUGGAAUUGCUAGUAAUGGCGGGUCAGCAACACCGCCGUGAAUCCGUUCCCGGGUCUUGUACACACCGCCCGUCAAGUCAUGGGAGUUGGUUUCACCCGAAGUCGCUCACCCAACCGCAAGGAGGGAGGCGCCUAAGGUGAGGCUGAUGACUGGGACUAAGUCGUAACAAGGUAACC